rnacentral:rRNA from 1 species
UACGUAGGGGGCAAGCGUUGUCCGGAUUUAUUGGGCGUAAAGAGCGUGCAGGCGGUCGUUCAAGUCGCGUGUGAAAGCCCCCGGCUCAACUGGGGAGGGUCACGCGAUACUGAUCGACUCGAAGGCAGGAGAGGGUAGUGGAAUUCCCGGUGUAGUGGUGAAAUGCGUAGAUAUCGGGAGGAACACCAGUGGCGAAGGCGACUACCUGGCCUGUUCUUGACGCUGAGGCGCGAAAGCUAGGGGAGCAAACGGG